ACUAAAAUGGCUGAAAAAUUAAGCAAUAAAUUGUAAAUUUAUUUAUGAAUAAAUAAUUCUUUUAGUA
rnacentral:tRNA from 1 species